GCUGGGUGUGUUAGCAUGUGCCUGUAGUCCCAGCUACUCAGGAGGCUGGGGCAAGAGGAUCACUUGAGCCUGGGAGGUGGAGGCUGCAGUGAGUCGUGAUGGUGCCACUCCACCCCAGGCAAAAGAGUGAGACCUUGCCUCUA
ensembl:misc_RNA Metazoa_SRP Metazoan signal recognition particle RNA